GACGAACGCUGGCGGCGUGCUUAACACAUGCAAGUCGAACGGAAAGGCCUGCUUUCCCUUGUGGAUUGCGGGUACUCGAGUGGCGAACGGGUGAGUAACACGUGAGUGAUCUGCCCCCAACUUGGGUAUAAGCCUGGGAAACUGGGUCUAAUUCCCGAUAGGACUGCAGGGUGGUGCCUGUGGUGGAAAACGAUUUUCUAGUGGUUGGGGAUGAGCUCGCGGCCUAUCAGCUUGUUGGUGGGGUAAUGGCCUACCAAGGCGGCGACGGGUAGCCGGCCUGAGAGGGUGGACGGCCACAUUGGGACUGAGAUACGGCCCAGACUCCUACGGGAGGCAGCAGUGGGGGAUAUUGCACAAUGGGCGGAAGCCUGAUGCAGCGACGCGGCGUGGGGGAUGACGGCCUUCGGGUUGUAAACUCCUUUCGACCGCGAGGAAGCCACCUGGUUGGAAGGGUGGUGACGGUAGUGGUAGAAGAAGCACCGGCUAACUACGUG
rnacentral:rRNA from 1 species